AACAUUAAAAAAAUUAAAACAAAACCCCAAAAUACGCUAUUUCUGAAUUGCAAGAAACACCUCUCAUAGCCGCUGCCGGGCGUGGUCCUUUCUGCCUUGGGGUUUGCUGGCCGUCCCCACACAAUGAGUUCUUGAUCACCAGUUAGCUCACCGCACUCCUGCUGAGUUUCAACUGACUGAACUUCCAGGAUCGCUUAUCGCUCUGAUUCUACUGAAGUGUAUUCAAGUACAGACUCUGUCAUGAAAGACAGGUCCAUGUGGCAGAUCACCGGGUCCUGCCUCGGGUCCUGCAGGAGACCCUGUGAAACAUGGCCCAAGUGCCCAGGAUUUGGAGGGAGAUUUGGAUGCGUACUUUCCCUUAUUUUAAAGCUGAGAAACACAGAGGCUGAAAACCUGUGCUAGAGCGUGGCAGCACCCGGCUUUGAACCCGGGAAUCCGAUCCCUAAGGCGCACCUGUAACCUGGAGCCUGGAAGGGGCUGGUGCUUGCUGACUGGUCGAAUCAACAAGUAAAUGAAGCUGACUGGGCCUUGUUCCAAGCCCUGGGCUAGUUUACCUGGUGCUGGGAGAUUCCUGCUUCUCCCAGGAAGAACAUCUUUCCAGGCCAAGUAUACCAGGAAUUCAGUGCAACAUGGCCGCUGGCACGCCACUACGUCAGCAGCUUCAUUACAGGAGCCUUCGUCGUGGGUGCGAGAAGGAUAAAUGACCAGCCUGGGUGGCUCUUGACAGGGAUUUUGGAGCCUACCCAUUACCUCUCAGGGCUGGGAUUUCUAACUGUAUAGGAUACACCCCGGUCGGCAAACGUUCGUCAGUGUCCCUGAGGUUUCCAGACUGACGCAGUAGUACUGGAGAAGUUUGUUUGCACCCACCUUUUGGAAUAUGCUUCUAUUAAAUGAGAAUCUUGCAAGAAACUUGGCUUUCAUUCAUCAAAUGAAAUAAAGAAAAUGUCCCUUGAAAUGGC